rnacentral:rRNA from 1 species
CUCCCUUAAGAGAGUCAUAGUUACUCCCGCCGUUGACCCGCGCUUACUUGAAUUUCUUCACUUUGACAUUCAGAGCACUGGGCAGAAAUCACAUUGUGUCAACACCCGCUAGGGCCAUCACAAUGCUUUGUUUUAAUUAGACAGUCGGAUUCCCGAAGUCCGGUGCCAGUUCUGAAUUGAUUGUUAAUUGAUAAUCGUUAUAAUUAAUAAGAACUAAUUGGUUUAACCCAAAUAGUAUUCUUAAAAAUUUUAGCAAGAAAGUUCCACAAUUGGCUACAGUAACUAAACUAUCCGGGGAACAAGUAACUAACAUAAAUGCUAGAAACUCUAUUUACCCAGAACGAGCACAUAUUGUUUCCCAAUCAAGCCCGACUAUCUCAAUCUUCAGAGCCAAUCCUUAUCCCGAAGUUACGGAUCUAAUUUGCCGACUUCCCUUACCUACAUUAUUCUAUCGACUAGAGACUCUUCACCUUGGAGACCAGCUGCGGUCUGCGGAAGUUUGCGUGUCCCCACCAUAAAUUUUCAAGGUCCGAGGAGAAAAUAUCGACACAACAGUAUAUGUCAUGCUCUUCUAGCCCAUCUACCAUAUCUCUCUGCGAAAGACUUCCAUGGUAGUACGGCUAUAAAACAGAAAAGAAAACUCUUCCGAUAUCUCUCGACGGCUUCUUUAUGGUCGUUCCUGUUGCCAGGAUGAGCACGAGGCCCAUAUUUAAUAACAAACGGAUACUCAAGGGGUUACG